GUCAGCAUGGCCGAGCGGUUAAGGCGAUCGACUAGAAAUCGAUUGUGUUCUCACUCACAGGUUCAAAUCCUGUUGCUGACG
rfam:Nannochloropsis gaditana strain B-31 chromosome 4, whole genome shotgun sequence.